AACGAACGCUGGCGGCAUGCCUAACACAUGCAAGUCGAACGAGACCUUCGGGUCUUUUGGCGCACGGGUGCGUAACGCGUGGGAACCUGCCCUUAGGUUCGGAAUAACUCCCCGAAAGGGGUGCUAAUACCGGAUAAUGUCUUCGGACCAAAGAUUUAUGGCCUUUGGAUGGGCCCUCGUUGGAUUAGCUAGUUGGUAGGGUAAUAGCCUACUAAGGCGACGAUCCAUAGCUGGUCUGAGAGGAUGAUCAGCGACACUGGGACUGAGACACGGCCCAGAAUCGUACGGGAGGGAGGAGUGGGGAAUAUAGGAAAAUGGGCGAAAGGCUGAACCAGCAAUGCCGGGUGAGUGAUGAAGGCCUUAGGGUUGUAAAGCUCUUUUACCCGGGAUGAUAAUGACAGUACCGGGAGAAUAAGCUCCGGCUAACUACGUG
rnacentral:rRNA from 1 species